rnacentral:rRNA from 1 species
GCUAAUACAUGCGCACAUACCUCUUCUCUCGUGGAAGGGUAGUGUUUAUUAGAUACAGAACCAACCCACCUUCGGGUGGUCCCCAGGUGAUUCAUAGUAACCGAACGGAUCGCAUUAUGACCUUUUGGUCGGCGAUGGAUCAUUCAAGUUUCUGACCUAUCAGCUUUCGACGGUACUGUAUUGGACUACCGUGGCAGUGACGGGUAACGGGGAAUUAGGGUUCGAUUCCGGAGAGGGAGCCUGAGAAACGGCUACCACAUCUAAGGAAGGCAGCAGGCGCGCAAAUUACCCAAUCCUGACUCAGGGAGGUAGUGACAAGAAAUAACAACACUGGAAAUUAUAUUUCUAGUGAUUGGAAUGAUGGGAAUCCAAACCCCUUUCAGAGUAACAAUUGGAGGGCAAGUCUGGUGCCAGCAGCCGCGGUAAUUCCAGCUCCAAUAGCGUAUAUUAAAGUUGUUGCAGUUAAAAAGCUCGUAGUUGGAUAUCUGCCGGAAGCAGCCAGUCCGCCCUUUGUGGGUGUGCACUUGGUGAAUUCUGGCAUCCUCCUGAUUGGUGUCAUCAUCACUUCAUUGUGUUGGUGGCAGCUGUCAGGACCGUUACUUUGAGAAAAUUAGAGUGUUUCAAGCAGGCUUGUUGCCUUGAAUACUGCAGCAUGGAAUAACAAGAUAGGAUUUCGGUUCUAUUUUGUUGGUUUCUAGGACUGAAGUAAUGAUUAAUAGGGACAGUUGGGGGCAUUCGUAUUUAACUGUCAGAGGUGAAAUUCUUAGAUUUGUUAAAGACGAA